rnacentral:rRNA from 1 species
UACGAAGGGGGCUAGCGUUGCUCGGAAUCACUGGGCGUAAAGCGCACGUAGGCGGACUCUUAAGUCAGGGGUGAAAUCCUGGAGCUCAACUCCAGAACUGCCUUUGAUACUGGGAGCCUUGAGUUCGAGAGAGGUGAGUGGAACUGCGAGUGUAGAGGUGAAAUUCGUAGAUAUUCGCAAGAACACCAGUGGCGAAGGCGGCUCACUGGCUCGAUACUGACGCUGAGGUGCGAAAGCGUGGGUAGCAAACAGG